GGGCUGCCCAGGGACUCAAUGGCCUCACAGUGCAUCCAUCAGGGACUGCCGAGCUCCUUGGGAUGGAGCAGGAGUGGCAAGGAGAGAUUUUUCACCCUGGAGGAGGAGAUGUACCCUCCCUUCACCUUCUUCUUCACUACAUUAGUAUGAUCUAGUGUUCUGAUCCGGACCUGAGCAACCUCGAUUGUGGCCAUUCCCUGGAUGACAGAAAGCUUUGUAGACACCCAUUAAGAUGUUUGUGCUGCUGAUGGUGGUUUCCCCUGUUUUGGGUAUUAGCCAAACAUACCUCAAGCACUCAGCUGCCCUACAGCAAACACCCUCCUAUGCUGCAGUGACAUAAAAUACUGAUGGUUUUGGCAAGUGCCCCAGCCAAACUGCCAUGAAGGAUUCCACAGGAACCCUCCCCACAACUGGAUGCACUUCUCCCCAUCACGUCCCCUCCCCUGUGUUAGCACUGUGUCACCACAUGGUGAUAACCAGCCUCUCUUGGAGGUGACUGCCCUUUGCUCAGCAGAUAUGGAGCAAAAUGAUGGAGGGACAUCCAGGUUCCUGUUGUUUGGUGCAGGUGGGAGCUCCCCUGGCCCUUUCCAGGUCUUAACACUUUUACUCACUGACUGGAUGAAGUCUCCCAUCACAAACUAGGUCUGUGUUGAGCCCCUGGGGUCUUAGCCUUGAAGUAAGAUAGCCAAGGGGUGCCAGACUGGUGUUUUGAUGCCAUAUCAUGGGAAUGGCCAAGGGGGCUGAUAUCUUGUCUCUUGGAGACUCAGGCAGGGCUGAUAAAAUGUUUGUGUCUCAUGAAACUCAACCCAGAGUUUGGGUUGGCCAUCACCCAGCCUUCUCCUCCACCUUUGCUCAGCCAGCUCUGGAGCUGAUGGGAUUCAGUGUGACAUACUGGCUCAUGCUUAAUUCUGCCCUCAAAAUCUUGCACAUGGUUAGCAUCUCACCUGAAACAAGAAGUCAUCUCUAACUUGCCAGCAAAAGCUGUGGUCACAAUGAUCUCAGGUCAGUUGCUCACACAGGGGGUCCAGAGACAUUAGAGAUGCUCUGGGAUACCCAAUACAUGGGGCUGCCCCAGAUGAUCCAAGAUCUAUGGGAGAGUCAGGCCAGUGGUGGGAAGACCUGGAGCAUCUCUUGUGGCACAUCACCCAGUGCGGGCAACUGACUUGUGCUCCAGGCAUGAGCAAAUAGAGGAUUUAAUCAGCUCCAGCAAUUUCCAUCCAUGAGGAUUUGGGCUGAGCAGGUCAUCCUGGUGCCAGGGAAGGUCUAAGCAGCCCCUUUUCCCCCUUGCUGUGAGCAGGGCUGCUUUGCUCCACCAUCAUGUCGAGGUGGGUUGCUGUUGCUCUAAGAUGCCAAGCCAGCACUCCCGUCUCACCCUGAGGGUGAACGCCGCCACCAUCGCACGUUGUUGUGCUUCACACAGUCCCACUUAGCUUCUGCCACUGUCUCGUGGCAGCACCAUUCCUGCUGUCGCUGGCAUCCUGCCGGAGCGAGAUCACCUCCCGAGCUUCCACACUCAAGAUAGGAAUCGAGUUGUUGCUCUUAUGCUGCUACGUUCUACAGAGACAAGUGUAUUUGGAUGUAAAUAACAGCCCAGCUCUGUAUUUGCAACGAUUAAAUGAAGAGACAAGAAAGUUCUCUGGCUUCUAUAUUGCUGAAUGGGAUGCACAGUAGCAGCUGAUGCUGUAUUUGAGUGCUGAGUGCUACAUGGAGGUGCUCAGCACCCCCUGAGCUUUUGCUGGCUGCAAUGCAAAUGGGGGGGCUCAUCUUCCAGGAAGGCAAUCCACUUGGAAUUGACUCUAACAAAGCAUCCUGGUGUCACUCUGUCCUGCUUUGAUGCUUGCUGUCAUCCUGAGCUGAGAUUUGAUAGUCCCCUGGUUAAAACUGGAGUCCCCUCUGCCUAUCCCUGUGUUGCACCAAACCCCUUGCAGACAGUGUCUCCUUUGAGCCCUGCUGCCCAUGAGCUCUGCCCAUGGGAAGGACCAACCCACCCCACUCCUGCCCCUUGCAGUGGCACUUUAUGGCUUGCUCAACACAGCGAGCUCAUGAGCAACAUGACCAAAGAUCUCCAGAAGGCAUUGGGAUUGCACGUGUGGAGCUGCCUCCUGGUUUUCCAGAGGAAGGAUGAGGCUGAUGUGGGCUGGAAAAGGGGAAUGAGAACUGGCAGGAGACAAGUAAGGGCUUGGCUUUCCCUGUGUCCCACCUGGGAAUGUUUGCAGGUCCAUGUGCUAGAUAGAAGUUCCUGUGUGAGCUGAUUGUCCCCAGUUGGUUAGACCAAUAUGCUCCAUGGCUGUGCCAACUAGCUCCAUGCACUGCCCAAAGAGAGUGUGGACCAGAGGCUGUUUCUAGGAGGCAGGAUGGAUGCAAUUCCCACUUUUUUUUCAUGAGGAGAAGGGAGGAUGCAUGCCAAGCAAUUACACUUGUCUUCAGGGCAACAGGUCUCCUCUAGUUUAGUAGCAGAUGUUACAGGGUCCAGUCAAGGGCUUGUGCUGGCUCAGUGGGAUGUGGCCAGGAACAUGUGCAUCCUGAGAGCUGGUGGCCCUGCUGGCUGCCCCCUUGGUGUCCUCUCCCAGCUCACCCCAGGGCACCCUCAGCACCCUCCUUACCAGGGAACCAUCUUCUGAGGUGAAGGGACCAUGGUCUUUGCUUCUCCUGCUUAGGGUUCUAAAGGCAUCUCUGCCCACCUUAGCUCCCUGAAGGCUCCUGAACCUGGUCCCAGGGGGAGAUCUGUGCUCAUCCAGCCACAGUGCUCCUGUGGAUGGAUGCUCGGAUGGGUCUGGGCCUUGGGCACAUGCCCAUCCACCUUGUCUCUGCUUCCCAGCUAUGCUAAGCUUCUCCACUCCUUCCAUACCAUGAAAGCCUGCUGAUGCGCAGUGACAGCCCUCACUCCUGUCCUGGAUGGGAGCAGGUCCAACUUGCCAUUAUUUUAACCCAACCCCUCAAUCUAAGCCUUGAAAGCCACUUUACAGAGUCACUUUUCAUCCAGACCCCUUGCUAAAGACCUGCUCAUCAUGUUGCCUUUGCCCUGCUAGUCCUCUGCCCCAGCUCUCCUGCCUCCUUUCAGACCAUCACCAUCCCUGUUGUCCCAGGAGCAGUCAGUGCCUCUCCCAGACACAUCUGAACAAGCUGGAGCUGAAGGCAAAGCCUCUACUGAUAAUGGUGUGUCCCAACCCUGACCUCAGCAGAGCUUUCUAGACCACUGAUCCUCACCUCUUCUCUCAUGUCAUUCCCAUUCCCAGCUAAAUCGGCUCUGCUUUACUUCCAAGAUCAAUCUUGCUACUUGCUGAAGGACAUCUCCAUGGCUUGAAACCACUUGGGAUCAUUGCAUGGGGCUUCACACCAUCGCAACAGCACAGCCAGCCAGCUCUGGGGCUUCCCUGGUCCUUCCCCCCUCUGGAAAGACAGGGAUGUGAGGGGUGUAUGAGCAUCCCUGCUCUGCAGGGGCACACAGCACCCAGUGUAUCAAGGGGUUGGGAUCACAUCCAGCUGUUCGCAGUUGUUUGCUUCCCAAAAGGAUGUUCCAUGCUGGCAACACCAGACAUGAGCUUUUGCAUGUUCAGGAUAAGCCUCCUCACUGGUUCUCCUGAUGAAGGGGAUGGUGUCAGGUCUGGAGCCUGGGACAAGCUCUGGCACACAGGGUUGUGUCUUCACAGCUCUUCCACAGAUGUGUUUCCUCAGGCAGAAGGUCUCCGCUUUCUGUCACAAAGCAAUAGGUUUUUCUAGAGGGAUUCUAAAGGGACUAUUCCCAACUCUGAUACCUGCAGGCAAACCAAUGUUCUUUUGAAUACCUUCAUAGCUCUAGCCCUGGGCUCUCCUUGGGAAAGGGGUGCAAAGUCCAAUCUGGCUCCAAAUAAUCACCAAUGGUUUGAGCUUGGUGGUCCCCAUUCUUCCGGAGAGCCCAAAGCUGCCCAUAUCCAGCAGGCCACCAGUCUGGGUCCACAGGAGGUGUGCUCCAUCCCCCUCCGGUGCCCAUCCCAUUACUGUUACUGGGUCUUCUCCAUUAGCUCACCCAUGUGGGAGCCGCUGGGUCCCCUGGGGUGUCUGAGCACCCAGUUACAUUUGGUGACAACCAGACACCAGCGGGAGACCAUGGCAUUGGCUCUGCCAUUCCUGAGAGCCAGGCUGUCCUCUCUCGGAGGAGAAGAUCCCCUUUCCCAUUCAGGUGGCACUUGGGUUCCCUUCCAGCGGCUGCAGGGAGCAACACACAUGCAGGCAGAGCUCCACCACCGGUGCCAAAAGCGUUCCACCACCGGUGCAAUGAAAUGCUGCACAACCGGCCAAUGUGUCUAUGCAGUCCCUUUCCACGCAGCGGUGUCCCCGCAGAGCCCAGCCCAGGGCUGGAGCUCCUCCAAGGUGUCUUCGUUUGCACUCACUCGGACCUGGUAAUCGCUGUGAGCCGAGAGGAAACCCUCUUGGUCUUUGCCUUGCCCCAGGCAGUACGCUUGUGAGGGUUUCCUCCUCCUAAACCGAUGCACGUCACUUAGUCACCCGUCUUCUGCGUCUGUUCUUCAGCAGGUCAGUAGGUGUCCAUCCCCAAAACCCAGCUCCCUGAUGGGAGAACGUCAGGUUGGGCCACCCAGGGCCCCCCGAGCAAGCCUGCUGUCUGAUUUCACCAGCAAUAAAAGCCCCACGGAGGAGCAGGCAGAGCUCUCCAUUGCUGCUCCACCACCGGGUGAGCUGCAGGCUGUGUCUGUGUGUAGGACCUUCCGCAUUAGACCCUUGGUCCAACUACUUUGGACCUACCCAACUGUAAAUUCAAGCCCAGCCUUGUGCUUUCUUUCCUCUUGUCCGUUUCUUGACGCCUUUGGUCUCUCUUUCUGCUCUUACUGUGAAUUCCAAACCAGAAGUGUUCUGAUCUAGACUCUGUUACUGUUUUGUUUCUGCGUUGACUGUUGCUGGGUCUCCGAACUGCGUUUAAUGAGACUUUGCAAAAAGAAAUGAAGAUAAAAACAAUAAAAAGAAUAUAAAUAUAUAUAUAUACUUUAAAAAUUAAAUAUUUAAAAGAGGUUCAUAAAGUUGGGUGUCUCUCCUAUCCACUGGUCACUUCCAAACACCGUUGUCUUGACUUCACCUCUGGUGUUUAAAGAAAAGAGGUUGAUAAAGAAAAGGGAUCAAAACGCAGCGUUCCGGGAUUUUUGUACAGCAAAGGUGUAUCUGUUUUGGGAAUUCUCGUGAAAACCACCCCACAUCUCCCCAUCUACUGCUGGUCUGUUGUAUGUUUCCAUUGGGUUCUCAAGGUGUGAAGAGCUACUGCCUUUGCGAUUUUCUACGGUGAAUAUAUAUCUGUACAGAGGUAUGUAUAUAUAUAAAUAUAUACGAAGAUCUAUAUGUAUACGUAUCUCUCCUCUCUCCACCUGACUGUGAAGGAUUUUUAUUGGGCAAAAUAAACUGGAGAAAGGCCCCAUUUUAAAAAG
ensembl:lncRNA